ACCGUGUCCAUAACAUGGAGGUGUCCAAGG
rnacentral:piRNA from 1 species